UUCACCCUGCUGUGAUCGUGAACGCUCGCGGGUGUUUUGAGCCAACACCGCGUACAAGGGAGCCAGUACUCUGCCGAUGACGCCCAUGCCCCCGUCCCGCGGGACGCCUGGGGACGGGCAGAGUCGGCAGGACGGCACCCACCUGCAAUGGCAGGUUCAAAACUUCAGCGCCACGACACGGUGGGGUCAGU
rnacentral:other from 1 species